CUAAUACUGGAUAUGAGCUCCUUCCGCAUGGUGGGGGUUGGAAAGAUUUUUCGGUCUGGGAUGGGCUCGCGGCCUAUCAGCUUGUUGGUGAGGUAAUGGCUCACCAAGGCGUCGACGGGUAGCCGGCCUGAGAGGGUGACCGGCCACACUGGGACUGAGACACGGCCCAGACUCCUACGGGAGGCAGCAGUGGGGAAUAUUGCACAAUGGGCGGAAGCCUGAUGCAGCAACGCCGCGUGAGGGAUGACGGCCUUCGGGUUGUAAACCUCUUUUAGCAGGGAAGAAGCUUUUGUGACGGUACCUGCAGAAAAAGCGCCGGCUAACUACGUGCCAGCAGCCGCGGUAAUACGUAGGGCGCAAGCGUUAUCCGGAAUUAUUGGGCGUAAAGAGCUCGUAGGCGGUUUGUCACGUCUGCUGUGAAAUCCCAAGGCUCAACCUCGGGCCUGCAGUGGGUACGGGCAGACUAGAGUGCGGUAUGGGAGAUUGGAAUUCCUGGUGUAGCGGUGGAAUGCGCAGAUAUCAGGAGGACACCGAUGGCGAAGGCAGAUCUCUGGGCGUAACUGACGCUGAGGAGCGAAAGGGUGGGGAGCAAACAGGCUUAGAUACCCUGAUAGUCCACCCCGUAAACGUUGGGAACUAGUUGUGGGGACCAUUCCACGGUUUCCGUGACGCAGCUA
rnacentral:rRNA from 1 species